rnacentral:lncRNA from 1 species
UGAUGGGAAGGGAGCCCAAGCCCGGACCAGGCCAGGCCCUGCCCCACCCAGGCCAGGCCCCUCCCCACUAGGGCAGACCCCCACCUUGCCCAGGGCCCAGCUCAUUUGCAUGCCUGAAUGUGAUUGGACAGCCCCCUCCUGGCUGGGUGGCUGGAGUUGUAGGGGCUUUGGCUUCUCAUCUUUGAUGCUCACCCUUCGUUUCCACUCCAGCCUCCCAAACAGGCUGUUGCAGAAUACAGAGCCCUGGUACAAAAUGACCAUUCUUCAUUAUCAUUGCACCCCCAAAUCACUUGAAAUGCUAACUUGAGCUGCUGCUGUCACGAUGACCAUCCUCCUCUAUAGAGAGCAUGAGGCAGGCAGACACAAAUGCACACAAGCAGCUAUCCUGAAACACACCCAGCCCCAGGACAAGGGUAGGAGCAACUCCUACUCCCAAUAAGCAACAGACACAAGGGAACGACACACAGGGAUUGGCCACUCUGAUUAGGGGUCCCGUGACCUUGAGACUUCCAUAGGGCUGGAGAGCAGACGGAAGUUGAUUGAAAACUGAGGGCUGGGGGAGUACCAGGGGCUGGGACAUAGGGAUAUCCCCUCAGGAUUCGGGAGAAAUUGCAGGAUAGAAGAGAAGGCAGGAACAGGAGGAGGAGGAGGAAGUAGGUGAGAGAGAGGAAGACGAGAAGGAAAGGACCUGGAUGAGAGGGAAUGUGAGCAGAAGCAUCCUUUCCAGCUCAGCUAUGGACUUGCAGGACUGGCAAUCCUACCCUGGGGUCUCCAGGGAAUAGCCCCCUUUUAGAGUCCUUGGAGGUGGCCUAAAAAGAGAGGCUGAGGCAGGAGAAUCGCUUGAAACUGGGAGGCGGAGGAUGCAGUGAGAUUGCGCCACUGCACUCUGGCCUGGGCAACAGAG